rnacentral:lncRNA from 10 species
CUUAGAGUUUAUUAAACUUUGAUCCUUUUGCUUGCGUAUGAGGAGAACUCAAAUAGUCAAAGUUAAUCAGCAACUUAGCAGCAAAGUCAGAACAGAACUUCGUGUGUCUAGAACCCAAAUUCCUUGAGCAUGAAAUUUAUAAUGCACUGGCAGAGAGGGAAGCCUGACAAGCAGCCGUCUGGAGGGACCUGUUUGCCUGGGUGACAUUUGCAGUCCACACUGUCCUGGUUUCUGGAUUCAGAAGGUUUGGUGUCUGUCUACAGGGACACACAGCCCUCUGGUGCUGGCGCGGAUCGUGAACAGGAGCAGACUGAAGACUGAGAGUUAGAGGAGCUGAAAGUCUGUGGUUAAUUUAACCUAGAGGGCGACUUAUUUUGAUGGGCUGAACCUUCCACCUUCCUUCAAACGAGUAUUCUGAGUCUUUGGACCACAGCUGCUGUUUUCCCCCGACAAUGUGAAGUGGAAAGAGCUUUUCCUAUUUUACAUUAAAUGAAGGAUGUGCUGAAUAUAAUUUCCUCACCUGUAAAGAAAAACUUUCUCAAACACAAUCUCUUCGUGAUUCUAGAAAUCACCAGCCCAGGUCAAUGCAUCUUAGAAAAAAAUCUCUAAAUUGCCCUUUAAUCAGAAUAAUACUCAGGGAGACUGAGUAUCCAGGCAACCAUGCUGAGACUGCUGAAACUGAUAAGAAGGCUUCCUCGGAACCUGUUAACAAAAAAUAGCUGAAUAAACUGCAGAAAAGCUCGAACUGCUUGAAGUCAUUGGGAAGCAAUCAAUACACAUAAGGAAUUGAGGAGAAACAACCCUGAAGAAAAGGAAAUUACAAAGCACUGAGCCUGAAAUUCUGCCUGGAAUUUCCUCUCUGAGCGCUUGUUAAAUUCUACACUGAUAAGGGGUGAGUAGCCUAGAAAUCAAAAGAAAAUAGCUUCUAAGAAGCUAAACCCCAAGCAGAGCUGAACAGACAAACACUCUGGUAGGUAUCACAGGUUUCCAAGAGAAAAAUCUUAAAGAGCCCCACUUCACGGGUAGACGGUGACAUUAAAAAUGAACAAGCUAUCACAAAGUCACUUCAGUCUCUGCUUGCAUCAAAGUGAGCUUUUGUCAUUGUAACUAUGGG